AUCCCAUCUGCCAACAGCACAUAAGCAACACCAGCCAUGGGGGGGAGGGACAAAGGGGGGAAGUAAAUAACACUGUCUUCUUUUUUAAAAUACCAAAUAUUUCAAGAUGAAAAAGUUAUGUAUAUUUUAUCACCAGCACCAAACUGUGCUGCCAAAGGACUUCUGUGAUGACUUUGAGUGAUUCCUUGCCCUAAAAUUAUGAGAUAUUUUGGGGGCUGCUCCUUGAAGAGGACAUCCCGUGAAGAAGUUCUCUCAAAACAAACUUUUCAGCACGUCUGUGCAGUCUGAGUCCCUAGGCACAUUUUCAAUUGAAUUUAAGCACUGAGAAUCCUGGCUUUCAGUAGUCCUUAAUGACAUAAGUACAUCUGUACCAAAAAUGACUUUGGGGCAUCAUUCCACUGGUUGUUCUAUUCUCAGGACAGCAGGCAAAUAAAAAUAGCAUCGUGUCUUACUUUCCAUACUUAGUGCAUCUCCAAAUUUGGAACCUUCCUGGGCUUUCUACAGACGGUAAUAAAAACAGUUCAAGUGACUUUCCACCUCCCUUUCUCAGGCAUCUGUUCUCUGUUUCGAGUCUGUGAAGCUAAUGCCAUACUUUCUGAUUACACAAACUACAAGGUUACCAAUAAGAAAAGUUGUCAAUAGGCAAAACUGUAUCACCUUACUACCUGAGAGCAGAAAACAUUUAGGCUAACACCAUGUCCCACUUAUCUUGUUUAAGGGAGCCAAGAACCAAAAGAGAAAGUACUGAAGUUUAGGGGAAAAAAGGGUGCUGAAGUCAGAUUUAGGAUGGAAGCUAGAAUAUGUUUUCUCACGCAGAGGUGCUAUGAAGUACACUACGAAGCCAUGACUGGAGAGAAACCCAGGUGAGAGAAAAGAGGGAGCAAGAUGGAGACCCGAAAGAGUAGGUGCUUCAGUGCGCUUGAGAUGUCCUUAGGAAUGGUGAAGAUUACACUCAAAGCAGCACAAAGAGUUUGGAUAGUUUUACAUAUAUUAAAGAGAAGUGAAUUAAAGCUAGAGACAGCCCAUCCCAAGCUGCAGGCAGCAAAAGCUCGUGCUAGGUUUCAGCACAUUUGUCUGACCGCAGCUUGAGCUUUGUUACAAGGAACCAACCAGCUUUGGGGAAUAGCAGCAAAUGUGCACUGCUUUAGCUGAGCUAUUCUCCAGUGCCAAACGUUAGGAUCACUCUUUUAAUACUUAGUUUAAUUAUGUUUGUGUUCUGUAACUGACAGUUUGAUAAAAGGAUGAAAACCUCUCCUUUUCUCCAUAGUGCGGCUGUUCUUUACAGUUGGCUUUGGCCUUGCAGAGUAGAUGGUUCCUGGUGAUUUGAUCUGCACCCUUGACCUGUUGCUGAUACCAGCAUUCAUCCAAGCACGGAUAACAGUCUGCAGCUUUGGU
ensembl:lncRNA